rnacentral:rRNA from 1 species
AUUGAACGCUGGCGGCAGGCCUAACACAUGCAAGUCGAGCGAGCGGCGGACGGGUGAGUAAUGUAUGGGGACUGCCCGAUAGAGGGGGAUAAAUACUGGAAACGGUGGCUAAUACCGCAUACUAUAGGAUACCCCAUAUGGGAUUAGGUAGUUGGUGGGGUAAAGUCUCACCUAGGCGACGAUCUCUAGCUGUGCUGAGAGGAUGAACAGCCACACUGGGACUGAGACACGGCCCAGAGUCCUACGGAGGCAGCAGUGGGGAAUAUUGAAAAAUGGGCGCAAUCCUGAUGCAGCAAUGCCGCGUGUAUGAAGAAGGCCUUAGGGUUGUAAAGUACUUUCAGCGGGGAGGCGUUACCAGCAGAAGAAGCACCGGCUAAAUCCGUGCCAGCAGCCGCGGUAAUUC